rnacentral:rRNA from 1 species
UUAGAGUUUGUUUCUGGCUCAGGAUGAACGCUAGCGGCAGGCUUAACACAUGCAAGUCGAGGGGCAGCGAGAUCAGUGCUUGCACUGAUUGUCGGCGACCGGCGCACGGGUGCGUAACGCGUAUGCAACCUACCCAUUACAGGGGGAUAACACUGAGAAAUCGGUACUAAUACCCCAUAACAUCCAGGGAGGCAUCUUCUUGGGUUGAAAACUCCGGUGGUAAUGGAUGGGCAUGCGUUGUAUUAGUUAGUUGGUGGGGUAACGGCUCACCAAGACAACGAUACAUAGGGGGACUGAGAGGUAACCCCCCACAUUGGUACUGAGACACGGACCAAACUCCUACGGGAGGCAGCAGUGAGGAAUAUUGGUCAAUGGACGCAAGUCUGAACCAGCCAUGCCGCGUGCAGGAAGACGGCUCUAUGAGUUGUAAACUGCUUUUGUACGAGGGUAAACGCAGAUACGCGUAUCUGUCUGAAAGUAUCGUACGAAUAAGGAUCGGCUAACUCCGUGCCAGCAGCCGCGGUAAUACGGAGGAUUCAAGCGUUAUCCGGAUUUAUUGGGUUUAAAGGGUGCGUAGGCGGUCGGAUAAGUUAGAGGUGAAAUCCCGGGGCUCAACUUCGGAAUUGCCUCUGAUACUGUUCGGCUAGAGAGUAGUUGCGGUAGGCGGAAUGUAUGGUGUAGCGGUGAAAUGCUUAGAGAUCAUACAGAACACCGAUUGCGAAGGCAGCUUACCAAGCUACUUCUGACGUUGAGGCACGAAAGCGUGGGGAGCAAAAAGGAUUAGAUACCCUGGUAGUCCACGCAGUAAACGAUGAUAACUCGUUGUCGGCGAUACAGUGUCGGUGACUAAGCGAAAGCGAUAAGUUAUCCACCUGGGGAGUACGUUCGCAAGAAUGAAACUCAAAGGAAUUGACGGGGGCCCGCACAAGCGGAGGAACAUGUGGUUUAAUUCGAUGAUACGCGAGGAACCUUACCCGGGCUUGAAAGUUAGUGACGGAUCUUGAAAGAGGUCUUCCCUUCGGGGCACGAAACUAGGUGCUGCAUGGUUGUCGUCAGCUCGUGCCGUGAGGUGUCGGGUUAAGUCCCAUAACGAGCGCAACCCCUACCGUUAGUUGCCAGCAGGUCAAGCUGGGCACUCUGACGGGACUGCCGGUGUAAGCCGAGAGGAAGGUGGGGAUGACGUCAAAUCAGCACGGCCCUUACGUCCGGGGCUACACACGUGUUACAAUGGCAGGUACAGAGGGCAGCUACCCAGCGAUGGGAUGCGAAUCUCGAAAGCCUGUCUCAGUUCGGAUUGGAGGCUGAAACCCGCCUCCAUGAAGUUGGAUUCGCUAGUAAUCGCGCAUCAGCCAUGGCGCGGUGAAAAGGUUCCCGGGCCUUGCACACACCGCCCGUCAA